rnacentral:tRNA from 1 species
GUAAAUAUAGUUUAACAAAAACACUAGAUUGUGAAUCUAAUAACAGAAGACAUAACCUUCUUAUUUACC